UACGUAGGGUGCGAGCGUUAAUCGGAAUUACUGGGCGUAAAGCGUGCGCAGGCGGUUCGUUAAGUCAGAUGUGAAAGCCCCGGGCUCAACCUGGGAACUGCAUUUGAAACUGGCGGGCUUGAGUGUGGCAGAGGGGGGUGGAAUUCCGCGUGUAGCAGUGAAAUGCGUAGAUAUCAAGUGGAACACCAGUGGCGAAGGCGAGUCUCUGGACAUUUCCUGACGCUGAGGCACGAAAGCCAGGGGAGCAAACGGG
rnacentral:rRNA from 1 species